rnacentral:rRNA from 1 species
AGAGUUUGAUCAUGGCUCAGAACGAACGCUGGCGGCGUUAACACAUGCAAGUCGCGUGCGCAGUUUCCGUAGCAAUACGGGGAUGGGCGCACGGCGGCACGGGUGCGUAACACGUGGGCAAUCUGCCCUCCGAUGGGGAAUACCCCCGCGAAAGGGGACUAAUUCCGCAUAACAUUCCUUGGAUUAACUUUCGAGGAUUCAAAGCAGCAAUGCGUCGGAGGAGGAGCCGCGCCCGAUUAGCUAGUUGGUGAGGUAACGGCUCACCAAGGCAAUGAUCGGUAGCUGGUCUGAGAGGAUGGCCAGCCACACUGGAACUGAGACACGGUCCAGACUCCUACGGGAGGCAGCAGUGGGGAAUCUUGCACAAUGGGCGAAAGCCUGAUGCAGCGACGCCGCGUGGGGGAUGAAGCUUUUCGGAGUGUAAACCCCUUUCGACUGGGACGAAUGCCUCGCAAGAGGAGUGACGGUACCAGUAUAAGAAGCCCCGGCUAACUACGUGCCAGCAGCCGCGGUAAGACGUAGGGGGCCAGCGUUGUUCGGAAUUACUGGGUGUAAAGGGUUCGUAGGCGGUGUGGCAAGUCGGGAGUGAAAUCUCUGGGCUCAACCCAGAGACUGCUUCCGAAACUGCUGUGCUUGAGUGUGAGAGAGGCUCGUGGAAUUGCAGGUAGCGGUGAAAUGCGUAGAUAUCUGCAGGAACACCCGUGGCGAAAGCGGCGAGCUGGAUCACUACUGACGCUGAGGAACGAAAGCUAGGGGAGCAAACAGGAUUAGAUACCCUAGUAGUCC